rnacentral:rRNA from 1 species
GGACUACCGGGGUUUCUAAUCCUGUUUGCUCCCCUUGCUCUCGCGCCUCAGCGUCAGGUACUAACUAGAAAACCGCUUUCGCCACUGGUGUUCUUCCACAUAUCUACGCAUUUCACCGCUACACGUGGAAUUCCGUUUUCUCCGUCAACCCUCUAGAAUGAUAGUUUCAAAUGCAGCUCCAGAGUUGAGCUCUGGAAUUUCACAUCUGACUUAUCGUCCCGCCUACGCGCCCUUUACGCCCAAUAAUUCCGAUUAAUGCUUGCACUCUCCGUAUUACCGCGGCUGCUGGCAC